UCAAAGAUAUUAUAUGUAAUGUUAUUAUUGAACUUUUUCUGUUUUCAGUUUCUCAUUCUCUUUAAUAUUGUGUUAAAAUAAUUUGUAAAUAUAUAUUUCCUUUUUUGUUAUAAUACUUCCAAAUCAGAUAUAACAAGACAAAUAUCCCCAAAAUAAAAUUUAAAAUUGGUGUUUCCUUUGUUGUCCAAACCAAAUAAAGUAGAUUAAUUUAUAUUAAAAUAUAUAAAUGAUUUAUUAUUAUAUGACUUUUUGAAAUCACGUAUAUAUAUAUAUAUAUUGUCGCUUUUUAUCUUUAUAAAUAACAAUAUGUUUCUUUUUUUUAGAUAAAAAUAAUAUAAUUAUAAUAAAAGGGAGACACAAACUUAAAAUUUAAUAUUAAAAACUGUGAUCGAUGGAUUCAUAAUUGUCACAAUCGUCAAUACUUACUUCUUUUUUCUUACAAGUGAAAACUCAAAUCAUCUUUAUAUAUAAAGUACAGUUUCUCUCUCUCCUGGGCGUGCCACAUCAGCGUCCACCUAGGAAAGUCGAGCUCUGGCGUUGCGACAUGUGUCAUGUCUAUACAAAACGAAUCGUUGCAUUAAAACUACAGUCUGAUGAGCUUAUAUCGUUUUGUGUAUAUAUAAUGUUUUGGGCUAAUAGUUGGGCUUAAACUUAAUGUUUUGGGCUGACAAAAAAAUAGAAGCUUAUCCCAAUUGUCGUAUUCUCUUUCUUCAACAACAGCGACCUUUGAUUUCUAGGGUUCAUCUCAUCAUGUUCUUCUUGAUGUAAUUAGGUCAACCGACUAUGCAGUUUGUUGGGCUUUGAGCAAACAAAACUCAUCGUCAUUGGCUAUGCGAUUAGACUUCUUCUACUCGGGAAUCUUUUUCAGAACCGUUACAGAAAUCAACCUGAUUCAUGCAUCUUCAUUAACAUUCACAUUAACACCAAUCCUCCACUUCUCACAUGAUCUCCAUUCAAUGAAUCUCACAUUCAUUCCUUUGUGUGAAUCCUCCCCUAUAAAUAUCAAAAUUUUCUUCUCAAAAAAGCAUUCGUUCAUUCUUCUCAGUAAAAACACAAGAAGAAGAAGUUCGAAGCAGCAAAAAAGAGUAAUAUGUGAGCUAAAUUCGUCAAUCGCCGAUGGGUCGGACAUGCCGCUUGGUCACACGGCGGAGGCUCAGGUACAAACAGUUAUCGUUUAAAGAUAUGCACAGCUAAACCUGGAAAUUCCGGCAUAUUUAAAGGGAACGCCUCACCGUCAUCGCUCGACGAUGACUGGAGCACAUUCAUCAACCAAAAGAUAGUAAUCGCUGGUGACUUAAUCGUUUUCCUCCACUUCGAUUUCGGCAACCACUGCGUCAGGACUAGCGCGGUUGUCUCAGAUCCAAUAACAAAAACUUAUUCUGGCUUCAUCCGCGACCAUGAGACAAUACCAUCGAAGCUAAUGAAGAUGAAACGCAAUGCAACAGAAGUGAGCGCACCAGGGAGAAGAGUUAAGGUGGAGGCAGUGGCUGAAGCAGUGGGGCUUGCAGCAUGAAGACAAGUGAUCUUCAAGGAGAAAGAGAGGUAAAGCUUCUAACUUUCACAUCUAUGCUCUUUGGUUUCUGCAGAAUCGAUCAUUUAUUUAUGAUUCUCAGAAAGUUGAUUGAGAAUAAUGAUGAUUAUGAUGAUGAUGACCUUCUCUUUUCUUGAUUCAAGUGAGUUCUUUUUAUAUUUCUUGAUUAUAAAAGUCUUAAGACUUUGACCCAAUCUUUAUGGGUAAGCUUCCUUCAAGUGUAUGAAAUAGGUGCAUGAAGCUUUUCUCCAUGACGAGAAUGCUUGGAACUGUUAGUGAUAUAGGAGUAAACCGUGCGCAAACUCUAGCAUUCGGAACGUUACAAGGAGAAUGUAAAGUUGAAUGAUAUCUUACAAAAAAAAUUCAUGGUGAGAACUAUGAAAAGACUCAAACCAGCUGAUGAAUUAAGAGGCUUCUUCCGUUUUUGAACUGUUAACUUUCUUUAUGCCAUAUGUUUCUUUCCACAUGAUACUUAGUGAUUCUACGUACCAGCAGGAACAAAAAGAAAGUGAUACCGUCACAUUAACUUUAACCUUUGAAAAUCACUGAAAGUUUUUGAUAAUUCCCUUACAUGAUAAUGUUUUCUAUAGAUACAGGAAGACAAGCGCUAGGAUCACAAACAAUAAACUCAAAACCUAAUCACUAAUCCAAGCCACAUUUUCCUACCUGAACAAAUAGGCAGACAAGUCAAAACCAACUUUUGGUUCUUGGGUCAAGACGGCUGGGAGGCAUAGCAGAGAGGAACAAGAUAAACAAUUCUUCACCUAGAAAAUAGACAACAUUCAAAGUAAUAUAAAAAUCUUGCUUUGUGGUGUGCCUCUUUUUGGUCUGUUAAUAUAAAAGCUAAGAUAUUUUUUGAUUGUUUUGUUCCAUUUAAUUAUAUAUAUAUAUAUAUAUAUAUAUAUAUAUAUUACGAUGUUGUCGUUUUUACUAUGUUAAAACUGAGAAAGGAAUAUUUGAUGAGA